UUCGUUGCAGGUUCCUCGCCGGUUUCCCUUUGCUGCACCUUUGUCUGGUUUCUCUAAGGUGAGAGAACCUCUCUACGUUUUUAUGCUGAUUUGGGUUGGACUGGAUAUUCACAAAACUUUAUAUCAUAUACUUUGGGCAUCGCUAAAACAACUGAAUGUCAAAGCUACAUGAUUUU